GCUGGUGGGGACGCUGCCAUUUGCCUCCCAGUCUGUGCAGUCUGCGUUCGUAUGCAAUUGCCUGCUGCUUACACGUGAAGGUCACAAGGUGUGUGGUGAGAAAAGUUACCCAGACGUGGCAGUGAGGACUCCAGGACUGGCCGGACCAAGAAUCAAGGGGCAGGGCAGGUGACAUCUCACCCCGUGCAGACUGCAAGUGAUGGCCAGAGGAAAGCUUAAAGUCUUGUCUCUCCUGGCUUUUCCCAACCCUGGCAGGCCAUCAAGGAAUGUGUACCUAUCAUCUCAUCCAUGUGUCCACUCCACUUCUCCAUCUUGUCCCAGUGCCUUUUCCUGGUUCUGCACCAGCCCAAGGAAACACCUUUGAUUGCCCUGCUGUGAAUGUUGGCAGGACUUUACUACUGUUGCUACAAGGCUGAGCAGGCAAAAUGCAGAAACUAUUUCCCUGACCUUCACAAGGCCACUGCUACACAGGGCAGACAAAACUAGAUCCAUUGUACUUUGUCAGAGCAGGCAGGACUUGGAAAAGCACCUGGUAAACACAUCAUCAGUGCUGCAACCAAUGCUGGCUGAUGAGCAGAGACCGGCUGUCAAACAUGGAAAGGCCAAGCUGCUAGACACUGUCCCUAUCAGAACUGGGGUUUUGGGAAGGGACAAAGCAGAGGAGUUGCCAUGAAAAAUUAAAUAGGUAGUGCUAAAAUUGAAAGGAGAAUGAGACUGAGAAAAGCCUGGGUCAGCCAAGUUCACAGUGUAGAAAUAUAUCCAUUUCAAUGUAAAGUCUAGUGGUCUGAGUUUCCACUCAAAACUUUUUAGUUUUAGUGCAAGUGGUUUUAUUUUCAAACACAAAACAUAGACGCUGCUGCUUCUGUGCUCUGCGCUUGAACAACAGCAUCUCUUUUGCGACAAGUCUUAGGCUUCAGUAUACUUGUUGCAGCUAAUUCGCAUUUUCACAGUCCAAAGUCUUAGAAAAUUUAUUAAAUGUAUUAAAAUUUGGUCAGAUACAUGUACAUUAGCAGGCUUAAAACCAGGGAGGAACAUUUACAGUCAGAAUUCACUGUCUUUACUUCAUCCACAAUAACCAUUAUUUUGAUAAAAAUUACUGAUGAGGGAGUAUAAAACAUGAAAGAAAUAUAGUUUAAAUUAGGAAGCCAACUUUGGAAACAUUGUAUAGGUUCAAUGCUUAUGCCAGUUUCUAAACUUACUCCUUUCAUUAAUGUGACAGUGAUAAUUUUCACCGACUGCAAAUAUAAUUCCAUGAGCAUUAUCUGUUAGCAGUGAAAUAGUAUAGUUAUUUGUUAUGGGUUUUUUCCCCUCAAGUGUUAAAAUUAUCUGGAUCACUUCACUGUUUCAUGAGGCACCAUGGUUCUUUGUCUGAGAAAGCAUCCUUUGUGAAAGACAAGGCAUUGUGACACAAAGCUGGAAGAAUGGAUCAGCUUCUUAAUGUGAUUUUGUUGCUACAGAAGAUUUUGUGGGGAAUACUUUCUUAGUAGCAGGAACAUUUUACAGCAUGUUCUUUGAAUUGCAUUUUAAAUUUUUUUGGUACUAUUUUCUCCAUUACUUUAGUCAAGUGGCAUCUCCAUUGAGGAUUUCAUUACCUCAUAACUGCUGAAGUCCCAUCACAUGUACUCAAACUACUUCUGUUAAUGUGUCACUGUGCAUGAAAAAGAGAACCUGACUACUGUGCUCAAAAAUUCUCCCUGAACUCGGUGCAAAUGUCACAGUAAAAUACAGUAAAAUGCAAAUCCAAGUAUGUCUUCUAAGGAUUUACUGGGACAUCUUUGGAGACAGCACUGAAAUGCUGUCUUGUCACUUAAGGUGCUUCUCAAACUCAUGCACCCAAAUGAAAUAUUUAAUCCCCAGGGUUUUUAAACUUAACUUGUUAGAUGUUGCUUUUUUUUUACCCCAAAAAUAGCACACUGAACCUCACUGCCUCAAAAACUCUUGCUAAAUAUAUUUAAUGCUGCCUUGUUUUGCUCCUCUAGUUCAAGUACAUGUCAAAAAAUUAGCACCAGAACUCUUUUUCAAGCCUGAAAAAACCCCUCUCAAAUCUGAACACAAGUAACUGGCCUCUUUCCUAAUAGAGCAUAACAAACAACAUCUUUUACAAAAAUAAAUCUGUUUCCUGAAUGACUCAAAGGAUGACACGUAACUUCCCUCAAUUUUGUUGGCACACAACCAUCUCACUGAAUCCUACAUAGUUUAAAGAGUUUUAUUCAGUUGUACAAUUGAUCUUGAAAAACUGAAAUUCAUUAUUUUCUCAGAAAGUGCAAAAGUCAACUGAUCUACAGAAUAAUUUAGUGUUUACAUUUUACCUUAGAAGAACUUUUUAUUACAUUUACCUAUUCCACUGCUCUUUCUUUCCUCUGUUCUUAGUAUGGAAAGUCAUGUAAAUUUACUCUGCAGUGGUUCACAACUGUGGAACAUGCAUUUACAACAAAAAAAUGGAAAUUCUUUUCUUAAUUAAAUUAGGAAAAAAAUCCAACAUAAGAAAGACUGACAAAUUAGAGCAUAUAAUGCUCUUAUUCCUGCCCCAUCCUUCUAAAACUGCAAAAUUCCAGAAGCAAAGUCCAAGCCACAACACAAAUCUCCACAAUUCAGUGUCCAAUAAUAAUCUAAUCCAGUCUCUAACCAUAGUGUCUCUCGCUUUAAUCUAAACAGUGAAAUCUCUAAUGCUUUCACUAAAACAUUUUUUAGUCUUAUCAUCCAUAUAGAUUUCCUAAAAACACAGUGGAAUAAGUUUUUGUCACUUGGGUGCUAUUGAUUGAAAAAAUUAGAAGAUAACUUCAUAGCCUGGAACUAAGUGAAAUGUUACCAAAAAAGUACAUACUUUAUAAUUUUCAAAAAUAUUUUAGUAUGUAAACUGUGAGAACAUUUUAGCUCUCAAAACCCCUAGAAUAAUAAAUUUACUGGCACUUUUAGAAAACACUGCCACUUUGUGGGAAGUGUGUGGGUUAUUUGUCCAGCAGUAACUCUACCUUCAUCUUUGAUUUUCCAAUGGCAAAAUUCUCCUGGUUACAGAGUGAAAGAAAAAUUCCUUUUGGAGCUGUUCCUCAGCUAGUCUUCAUUAGCCAAACUAUGUGGCUGUUCAGUUAGCUCCCUAGUAAAACCCUAGGAUGCAGGAGAACUGAAGUCAGCAUAAAGGAGCUCAGACACCUCAUGAACAGGUUCUUGGAAGGGACUGGACUGCAGAUCUGUAAAGGACCAAAGCCACAGGGUUGGCCGCUUGCCAACCAACUUUAACUUGUCUCUUGCCAACCAACUUUCUUGUCUUGGGAAUUGGUAUUGCCAGGAGGUUCAGAGCACGGCAGUUUGAUUCUCUAGAUGUCCAGCAGACAGUUCUGCUGAGUGAAAUGUACUGUAUUAGCUCAGAAGAACCCAGAGUGGAGCAGUUCCAUCUGGUUUCUGUUGUCACAGGCAAAUCCACCACAGUUUAGUUAAAAGUAUUCCUGUAACAUCACUUUCCCCCUACAAUUUCACACAGAACACCAAUAUUCCUGUCUCCUUAUCAGCACCCCACCACUUCCACUUAAUCCAAGCAGAGUUAACUUGAAAAUAUAUUUGGGCAAGCAUUACUACAAGAUCCAGUUAUUAAAAAAAUAAUCGGGAAAUGCAGUUGUUCAACCAGUAUCAACAGCCAUGAAAACCUUAAGCAUUCAGAUGUUGAUACUCAAAGAUGGUGAUGCUCUAGCAGUCCAAAUGACUUGCACCUGCAACACAGUGCCUCAGAGGGCACAAUCGGUUCUUGCAUUCAAGCCAAAUGCACAACCCUGCCUUCUUCUCAUAAAGAUUCACCUAAGAGAAAAUUGUAUUCUCUCUUAGUCACUGUGCAUCAGGGCAAGGGUAAGGCUAUCCACAGCAUGUAUUAAGACAAGAUUUGGUACACAUGGGAAGAAAAAACAAAGCAGCUCAUCAUAGACAGAUUCUAUGAUAAAUAGAAAUGUUCUUUGGAGUUAUCUGACAGAGGUAUUGGGAGAUAAGGCAAGACGGGGUGCUAGGGGAUGUUUGUAGACAGAAAAAGUCAAAUGCCACAGAGGUGGCCAAAAGGCUGUGGAUGUUACUAGCAGAAGAAAGAGUAGCUCAUUAGCAGACUGACUGGGGAACAGGGCCCUGCAGAAGUCAGUGGAUCCAGAAGAGGGCCACAAAAAUGGUCAGAGGGCUUAAGCCCCUCUCCUAUGAAGAGAGUUGGGGUUGUUCAGCCUAGAGAAGGCUCUGAGGAGAGCUUCUAGUGGCCUUUUAACAAUUAAAGGAGGCCUACAAGAGAGACAGACAUUCGGGCCUGUUAUGAUAGGAUGAGGGCCAAUGGUUUGAAACUGCAAGAGGGCAGAUUUAGACUGGACAUGAGGAUGAAACAGUUGGAUUCAGUGAUCCAAGAGGUCUUUUCCAACUUUAACAGUUCUAAGAUUCUAUGAAAUUCUAUAUAAGGGUAGUGGACACUGGAACAGGUUGUCCCCAUCCCUGGAAGUGUUCAAGGCCAGGAUGCAUGGUGCUUUGAGCAAUCUAGUCUAGUGGGAAGUAUCCUUGCCCAUUGCAGGGGUUGGAUCUAUAUGAUAUUUAAGACUCCUUCCAACCCAAACCAUUCUGUGAUUCUAAGUACCAAGAAAGGUUAAGUUUUCAAAUCAGAGGCAAGAUAGAGCCUGGAGUAAAAUUUUUUGAGAAAGAGACUCUAAAUGCUAAUUUCCAGCUCUCGUAAUUAGUAAACUCAUUGCAUUAUCCAAACUUUAUCUUUUACUGGUGCUCCUUAUAUUUUCUCUGCAGUGUGUCAGUUAAUCUACUUCAUGCUAAAAACAUUUCAGAAUUUAAACAUGAAAAGAAUGGCAAUUAGUUUCUCAUUUGGGAUAAUGUUCUGGGUUAUCUGUACAUCCACAUAAAUGCCACAGUAGUUUAUAACAGAAGAUGACAAUUAAAAACCUUACACUUUAAAAAAUAUCAUUGAGAAAUCAGUUCUGAAAUAGACCAAAACUUCUCCUGAUUUCACAAUUUUAAGCAUUAAUAAAUUAAUAAUUUAUCCAGUAGUAUUUAAAACUGAGAUAAGUUUACUUGAAUAUCUGAAGUCUGUUUCUUUCAAAAGAAAAAACACUUUGUUCAACCAUACUUUAACUUUCAACCUAAAACUGAUCCAUCAUGAAUCGAAUACUAAUUUCCAAGUAUCCAUUAUUGCAUUAUAGGACAUGAAGAUCCAUGACUGGGGUUCAUUACAAUACAUAUUUCCAUACAGCAUUUUAAAAACCAAAACACUAGUAAAUUAAAUAUUACAAUAAAUUAUUAAUUGUCAAAUGCAUAGGCCAGAAAGUAGUAAGCAUGGAAACAAAGGGUUAAUUGCAAAAAGAUUAGCAAACAGCAAGAUAUUGCAGCUACCACAAAUCCCAGAGACUGAAUAUAACGGAGAACACUCCACUGUAUAAUAAAAAUGUAAAAGAUCCACAAACUAUUUGUAAUCAUAUACAGUGUUCUAGGUCCAUACGACAAUCUGUAUAAAACACUAACAAAUAAUAGGAUAUUGCAAUUGUUUUCUAUAAUAGAAACUUACCAUUUAUUUUUAAAAAUACAUCCAAAAUAGAGUUUUCUAAUUUAGCCUGGUUUCAAGACAUUUAAAGUGAUUUUUUUAUACAACAACAAGACAACAGUGAUACUGUAUUGCUUACACUGAAACUGAUGUACUAGCAAACCACAAAGGCUGAACAAAAUGCACAGGACCAGUUUCAAAAACAACAGACUUUCACUGACCCUGAAGAUCACACAACAAGAAUAAAUGUAUAGACAGAUAGGUUUGUAACUACAGAAGGUAUUGCAAUGAAGGUACUCUUGAAAAAAGUUUAAAAUAUAACACUUAUUUGCACUAGGAUCUUUAGCAGUAUGAAACAAGCAACCUAAACCCACAUACACAUGUGCAACAUACAGUCUCAUGAAAAAUAUUUGAACUAGUAAGCUUAUUAUGUGUAACAGUACUAUCAUCUUUAAAUUAUAGGAUUCUAAAACAUAUAAAACUGUUUUUCCUUUCAUGUGAUUUAUAUUAAAAUGAUUUUUCUUGCUUUCAACAUUGAAAAUUUAAAGCUGUUGAAACUAAACUUCUCCUUUCAUUGGCAAAGAGUUUUUGGUUGGUAAACUCCACAAUUUGGUUAAAUCCUGACUGGCUCUGAAAGCUCUCAAGGCUUGUAAAGAUCAAAAAGCUGACAAGUAAUUUAAAGUUUUAAAGAAAUCAAAAAAACAAUGAAAUAGUUUAACAUCCGUGGUGGAUUAAGCUUCAAUACUCACAUUUUUGUCAUCAUACUGACAGUGGUACUGACAGAACCCAGUACUGUUAGUCAGUCUCUCAUUCAGUACCAAGGAAUAUCCAUUCAUAAGACUAUAAAUGACAAUAAAUUACACAGGUGGUAAUGUGAGAUUAUGUAAUCACAAAAAAUGACUGUUAGAAACACUAAGGGUCUCAGUUGAAGGUAAGUUGAUAUAUUUCAUUUAACUUAGAAGCAGUUAUCUUAAAGUAACUGAAACAACAAACCCAGAACUUCAUGGUUUGGUUUUUUCCAUGAGCUGUUGCAUUGUUCUUAGAGGACUGUAAUGGUAAAUAUGGAUGCAUAAGGAAAAAACAUGUUGAUUCCUGUAUUUACCUAUUUUAAAGCUCCCAUUCCUGAGAAAAGUCUGUUAUGCCUCAUUCCUUAUCAAAAGGAUAUAUAGAAUUUAUAGUUUAAGAAUUAUGAAUGAAAUAAUUUGAAAUAAUUAAUGAAGAUCUUGCUGAGCAAAGUGAGCAACACUGACACAACAAUCCUGUAUGGGAUGCAUCUUUUAGAUCAUCAUAAAGACAAAACAGAUUACUUGACAGGCAGCAUAGAUCAGCUGCACUCCACCUUUACAUCAGUCUUGAAAAUUUAUUAUCAUAAAACUGUAAAACCUUGGGGGAAGAAAGGUCACUUACCAGUAGCCAGAGCUGUUUGCUACGUGUAGUAUGUAUGGACUUUGGCUCUUUAGAGGUCCAAAUGUCAGAGGUAUCCAACAUCUUAAAUUGCAGGGGUUUUUUGUCCCUCACAAUAUACAAACACCUGAAUUUAAACAACCUCAUGUGAAACAUGACCAAGGUUUCUGUGCUUAUGAGUUAACAUCCUAAGCACAAAGUCUUGACCCAGCAGUCUGUGGUAGUUGCACUCCAUAUGUAACUGAAGUUAACUUGCAUUCAAACACACUAGAGCACAAAGAGGAAACAAAGAGAGGAAUCCAGAGAAAAUUGGGUUCUGAGGACAUCUGCUCUGAUUAAAAUUAAAAAAAAAAAAAAAAAAAAAAAAAAAAAAAAAACCACCACAUACUAGCUAUGGAAAGGCAGCUAAA